ensembl:lncRNA
UUGCUGAGAAAAAAAAAAAAAAAAAAGAGAGAAAAAAAUCUCUUUUUAAAAGUUAUUUUACUCUUAAAGGUGUUUAAUAACUGAGGUUAUAACUAUGAUUGAUAUUUAAUAUAAUGGCAAGUAGCUUCAAAAUUUUAUUGAGAAAAAUCCUCACCAAAGAGUUUGUCACAAUUUCUAGAAGACAGAUUGAACUUUUGUAAUUCCUAUGAUGCCAAAUCUCCAUGUUAAAACAUGUAGUUCAAAGGAGCAUUUCUUCUGUUAACCUUUCAAUAAAGCAAAACAUACUCUAUGGAGCUGGAGUUCUUGGGACAUAAAGUCCCAGGGUACAAUAUAGUUAAUAAAUGAGAAAAAUUAUUCUUAAAUCAAAUGACGUUAAUAUAGAUAUGAAUACAUGUAUAAGUAAACAAAUUUAUUCAUAAAAUCUAAAGUAAAUUAUUUUUAACAUUUCUUUAAAAAAGACUGAGGUGAAGAAAUUGAAGAAAAAUUGCAGUUAGUUUACUUAAAUGGAAGCCAUAGAAUCUUACAACCACGGAAAGUUUUUGGUGCGAAAGGAUCCUAAAACUCAUCUAAUUCUGAUCCCCUGACAUGAGCAGGGACACCUUCCACUAGGUCAGGUUGACCAAAACCCCAUCCCACCUGGCCUUGAAUGCUUACAAGGAUAAGGCAUCCAUAGGCAGUGAGCUUGAUCCAGCUGCCCUAUGGAUCUUAACUCCCUCACUUCACAGCCUCUUCAGUCAAGGCUACCCUUGGUCUUCAGAUUUGCCACAAGCCCUUCCAUGUUGGUGAGAGUUCCUCUCCUCACUGAAUCCUCUAUCACCGCAAGAAGGAAUUUAUCAAUUAAAUCCAGGAACCUCCUGGAGGUUCCCAUAUCAGACCCAUAUCAAUAGGAUUCACUUUCCUUAAGCACCUCCCUUUCCUUUUACCUCCUGAUAAAAGGAUGGCUCCAAGUCUUAUAAUUACCAUUGUCUUCCUCUUUUGGUGCAGCUGCUUAACUCUUACCACACCUCUUAGGUCUCCAUCUGAAGUUUAAUUUCUCUGUUCCCCGUGUAAUUACAAGUAGCCUGUACACUUUCUUAGAUGGAGUAAGGUUCAUUCUCUUCCAUAUGGAUCACAGAAAUGCAGAAUCACAAAUUGUAGGGGUUGGAAGGGACCUCUGGAGAUCAUCUAGUCCAACUCUCCUACUAAAGUAGGUUCCUUACAGUAGAUUACACAAGGAAGCAUGCAGGAAGGUUUUGAUUAUCUCCAGAGUAGGAGACUCCAGAAGCCUGUUCCAGUGCUCUGUCAUCCUCAAAGUGAAGAAUUUUUCCCUCAUGUUUGUAUGGAGCUUCCUACGUUCCUGUUUGUACCCAUUACCCCUUGCCCUGUCACUGGGCAUCACCAAAAAGAAUCUGGCCCCAUUUUCUUGAAUCCUGUCCAUUAGAUUUUUAAAACAUGGAUAAGAUCCCCUUUCAGUCUUUUCUCCAGGCUGAACAAUCCCAGGUCCUUUUCCUCAUAAGGGAGAUGCUUCAGGCCCCUAAUAAUCUUUGUGGCCCUGCACUGGAUUCUCUCUAGUAGUUUCCUGGCUUUUUUUUCUUUUUUGAACUGGGGAAUCCUGAACUGGACGCAGUACUCUAGGUGUGGCCUCAUGAGGGCAGAAUAGACGUAAAUGUCUUCUUGAUACUGGAGGAAUAUCCUAGGCUCAGAUGAAUAGUAAACAACUCUAUGAAAUACAAAACUCUUUCCUCUCUAUUUGGCAUAUUAAUGGCAUUCUUCAGUAGGAAAUGUGUCUUCCUCUCUUAACAGAUGCAAAACAUAUGUCUAUAAAUAAAUUGCAUAGGACACUGACACCUGAGCAUCCUAGCUGUAUUCAGCUUAUUAAUGGCUUGCAGCUGAGUACAGUUGCAGUAGCAAUGCUCAUCACUGUGUAUUGUUGCUGUGUGGUGGCAACAGGAUUAUACAUGAUUACCAGUGAUUUCCAACAUUUCAUUUUUAACAUACCAUACAAACAUAAAUGGAAAGACCUUGUAAAAAGUGAUUUGUAUCUCAGGCUGCCAACUAAACACUAACUAUUCUUAAUUAGUUCUUUUUUUUCCAGCUGUCUAAAGCACUAGUUUUUUCUGAAAGCAAUUUCAAGAUCAAACUCUUAAGUACAGUGACUAGUGCUAAACUUAAGUGAUAAAACUGUUGCUUCUCUUUUCCACAAAGUAAAUACCAUCUGGAAAUGAAAACGCUGAUUUUACAAGACAUCUAUUCUUCUCCAGCCCAUUUGGGAGAGAAAAAAAUGAUAGUGUGCAUUAUAGUUUCUACUCUCCUGCUGCUACUUAAAAUUUCUAAAAACCUUUCUUGUACAAUUCUUCAGAAUAGUUAUUCUAUCAGCUCCCCUUUCAGCUAUAAUAAAUACAACUUUAAUAGUAAGAUUUCUAUAUUCAAUAAAAGUGGAAUUAAAAUAUACAUGUUGAUUAUUAACUGUAUUUCCUUUAACAAUUUUUUGUAAUAAUUUUUCCUCCCUCCUCUUCAUCUCUUUAAAAUUUCUUUUAUGACAGGUCUGUGUAUAUAGAACAACCAAAACAAGACAGAUGUCUAUGAGGCUGUGUAUCUGCUUUGCCCCUUAGAUCCCCCCCUCUGCUGUGAUAUACAAUGUGCUUCUAAAAGAAAAAUAGCUACCAUUUUUAACUCAUUGUAGAACUGGCAAAAUUAGAUAAGAAAAUAAUAAUCUCCCACUGUUGUUGCUUUUGCUGUUAAAAGACGUACUAAUAACUACUAAAAUUCAGUCCAUUAUGAAGCAAAUUGCACAAUAUAUUACACAAAAAUACACAUGCUGAUACACAAUCAGUUUGGUUUGAUUAGUCACAUGACUAAUGAGAUAUAACUUAGGCUGUAAAACUAGAAGUUUCAGUUUCUUAGAAAUCCUGAGCUCUGCUAGAUUUCUUAGAAAAAUUUCACAUCUCUCUUCAAAUGCAGAAAAUUAAUGUGAUUUUUUCAAAGUAAACUGACUACGGAAUUUUGAAAAUGUUUGACACACAUAAGUAAUACAGACCCAUGUCCUGCAUUGGAGAUAAACUUUUUUUUUUUUUCAUAGAGAGCCAAUGGUCUUAUCUUCAUGGAGACACCAUCUGAAAAAGAGAAGUACUACCUUGAUGGACAUUAAAAAAUAAAAUAAAAUAAAAUUCUGACACUAAUCAGUAUGAUAAAAUAUUACUACCUUAUUCUAUUCUUAGUAGAAUAGUAGUAUAUUACAUACACACAAAAUUAAGUUAAACAGGAAGGCUUUUUUUUCAGAAAAUCAGGAAAACAAAUUCAGUUCUAUAAAUAGCGUAAUCGUAAGUUAUUCAAAACAAUGGAUCUUCCUUUCAACUAAAAAAAGUUUCUUAAUGUCCCUUCUUGAGUACAUUUGUAAGUCCCAAUAAAGUCAACAUUUGUCCUAAGGGAAAAAAAUAUCCUUUCAUUGCAUCUAUGCUAUUCAUGCUGUUUCUUUUACCUGUAAAAAAAUAUACUAUGUGAGUAUAAAGAUAAAUUAUAGUAAAUGAAGAUACACAGUGCUCAACAACAAAUUAUUAACAGGAAUUAUAAGUACUGAUAAAUACUACUGGGACUGUUUCUUUAUGAGUAUGGGUUUUGUGCUCUGUGUGGAAUUAAUUCCCUAUAUGCUUUAAGAUUAAACACUGAAAAACAUGGGGAUAUCAAUUAUUAAGUUUAAAUAAUCUUGUCCCACAUAAAAACUGCAACUGGCCUCUCAAAAAUAAAAACAAAAUAGGGAAAGAAUAGAGGGGUUCCCUUACUUCUUGGCCAAAUUAAUGUGUUUCUGUGUCCUGCUUGGGCUCAGAGUGCAGAAACCUGGGUUCAGCUGUCCAAGUGCUAAUGUGAGACCCAGGAGAAAAGCUGCUUCGCUUGCAUUGGCUUCGUGUGUGAACUUGGGCAGCAGACCUCUCCCUGCCAAUAAAAAAAAAGAAUAGCACUGGUCAAAAGCCAGUUCUUGC